AAUGGUUGCCUUUUUCCUCUGCUUUGAAGCUAGCGUGACAUGUUUACAUCACACACACACGAGGGGUCGCACGUGCGCGAAGGAUAUUAACAUACUUUAAAAGGAUGCUAUUAGCAAGUUAAUGGAAAAGCAAUACCUUUGAAACAAACUAUCGGAAGAUUGCAAAACUGGCUGGCUGGCAGCUGUGUGUCGUCGGUACAGUGGCUUGUCUCGCUUCUUGCAUCUGCUCAGAUUACCAUACUCGCUUUGAGUAGGCAAAGUGCGUCCCCUAGUGUGUAUGUGUGUCCAUGCCUUCUCGCCUCAAGCGCAUCCGUGGCUCAAGAUGGAAACUAAUACGGCACCUAAAUCGCAAGCUAAUUGAACCUGACUUCCAAGGUAUCGCGUCGUCGGUGGAAAAUAAAGAGCGCGCAAAAACCUUGCCAUUCUACUCCGCUGGGAACUGAACUUGGACCGGAUACGGUGCGAUUCGGUGGGAAGACACCACGGCUGGCCCGCCAAACAAGCCGAACAAUCACACCGAGGACAUCCACCGCGGAAUGUCACAAUGGCCACAAGGCGUCUCAAGGCGAUGGGUAUGUCUUCUCGUUCAGGGCCAAAGCACGCCAGUUUGCAGUAACUCUUACUAAGUGGUGUUCUAGCGCGAGAGUUCACUAGGCGCCACCAAAAACACUCUCAGCCUCGAUUGUCCAUUGAAAACGCCUCACCUCCGACCCGUCCCGGGCCAGUCCCAGUCCCGAGGCGGCUGCAGUCAAGCGUGA